GAGGCUGCAGGAACCGCGUGCGGCCUUGCCUUUAGCUCUGCGCGGUCUGCCCAGUUACUUUCACUUUCCUUUCCUCAGAAGCCUGGCCCUCUCCGUGUGCGGCAAAGCACAGACUUCCUGUUUCGCCCACUGGUAUCUCCCUGCCCUUCUCGCAGUCUCCCAGGAGCCAUCCCCAGGCAGCCCCUGGACCCGAAAGGGGGCAGGAACAGAUAGCAAUCUCAGCAUCCAGGAGAUUCACCAUGACCAGGGCCUUGAAAGAGGCUCUUCUACAGCACUUUAUACAUCAGAAGCUGGAGAUUGCUUAUGCCAUAAACAAGCCAUUUCCCUUCUUCGAAGGCCUCCGAGACAACUUCUUCAUCACCGAGAGCCUGUACCAGGAAUCUCUGGAAGCCUGUAGAAAUCUGGUCCCUUUAUCCAGGGUCGUGUACAACAUCCUCACUCAACUGGAGAAUACGUUUAGUCUGUCAUUUCUGGAGUUGUUGUUCAGCCGAAUAAACCUGAGUGAAUACCCCAACUUGAUGACGACUCUCAAGAGCUUCAAAAGGGUUGUCAUUUCCAACGGAGGGUGGAGCAGAAUCACAACGAUUCCUCUCGAAGCCGCAGCCAACCCAGCAGGAAGGAGCUCCCCCUGGGCACUGCUGCCGCUGCCCACCUGCCAACACCCCCCACUGAGCCUCCCGCCCUGCUCACCCAGUGUCAGCAAGCCCGGAACACCUGCCCAGCCCAGCGCUGAGAUCCUGCAUGAGCAGCCCAGCCCUGCUGGCCUCACCGUGGCUCUCCCCGGAAUCAUCCAGGAAGGAAGGCUCACUCCAGUGUCCAGUGACAACCUGAUUCCCCAAAUAAAAGAUAAAGAAGACACUCAAGAGAUGUCCUGCGCUGCAUCAGGCCCCGUACCAGUGAUAAGAGACGAUGCUCCUGAACCAAGUGACCCAAAGGAGCUCCAGGAGGCAUCCAGGGCACCUCCCAGCAAGAAAGGAAAGAAGAGAAAAAGAAAUAUCUGGUUAACCUCAAAGAAGAGACGCCAGAAGAAAAGCCCCCCGAGAGGGGCAGCCUUACCUGGGCAUGGAACCCAAAAGACGCUCCAAGUGGCAGAGCAGGUGACUCACAGGGAGGACGACUCAACCAGGAACACAAAGGUCACGACAAGAGCAAAAAAGAGAAGGACAGAAUGUGCCCAAACGCCUGCACCAGAGGAGGUCAGUGAUGGCACUUCAGAGAUGAAUGGAGGAAAGAGACCCCAGGAGCCACCCAGCACACCACCAAGACUCACCCACGGUAAAGAUCCCAUGGAUAAGGGAAGCAAACUGCCUUUGGGAAAAUCUCCUGGGGAAAAACGAAGGAAGAGAAAAAUACAUAGCUGGUCAAGUUCAAAAAAAAGACAGAAAAAAAGUCUCCCAAGAGGGUCAGCCUUACCUGGACGCAGAACCCAAGAGAUGCUCCAAGGGGUGGACCAGGUGACUGAAAGGAAGAACGGCUCAACCAGAAGUUCGAAGGUCAUGACACAGGCCCAGAAAGCAAGGGCUGAACGUGCCCAAAAGCCUGCACCAGAAAAAAAGAAAAGGAUAAAAGAUGUCCGUUCAAGUGCAAAAACAAGUUGUCAGAGAAAUAUUCGCAUUAAGGGAAAACACAAAGAUGAAGCUCUGGAUUUUCACUCUCCUAAACUUCCUGUGACCUGUGGUGAGGCAAAGGGGAUUUUAUAUAAGGAGAAAAUGAAACAAGGCUCCUCAGAGAAGUGUAUUCAGAACGAGAAGGGACUUUGGUUCACACCAAGAGAAUUUGAAAUUGAAGGAAAACGCAAACAAUCAAAGAACUGGAAGCGGAGUGUGCUUUGCAGAGGAAAGACCCUAGAACAGCUGCUGGAGAAAGGACUUUUGCUCUGUCCUCCAAGAAGAAGUCUCAAGAGAGAGCAUAACAUCAGAGACUGUUCUCUGAGUUGCCAACACGUUUGCCUGGCACGGCGCACAGCGGAUGAGAACAGCUCUGACCCAGGCACGGGCAGCCUUGGGGCCAACCUAACUCAGCAGGAAAACUCCAGGGAAUGUGAGGUAUGCUGUAGAGGGGGGCCGCUGCUCUGCUGUGACACUUGUCCAAGGGCCUUUCAUGAGGACUGUCACAUCCCACCUGCGGAGACUGAGAGGGACCUUGCCCUCGCUCACUUAUGCCCGGCCCCUCAGGAGCCCGUGGAGUUGCACUUUCUGCAGGAUGAAGGAGUCUUCUGGAAGCCAGCAGUGUCUCGGGCAAUCUGGGGUCCUGGCAAGGCAGAUGCAGCGCGAGGAGCAGUUGAAAUGUGAGUUUCUCCUCUUGAAAGCCUACUGUCAUCCACAAAGCUCUUUCUUUACGGAGACCCCAUGUAAUAUUCGAGAUUAUGGUGAACCCUUUAGGGAAGCCAUGUGGUUGGACCUGGUUAAGGAAAGGCUGGCUGAGAAAGUGUACACAGUGGCCUGGUUUCUACGGGACAUGCGCCUGAUAUUUCGCAACCAUAAAACAUUUUACAAGGCUUCCGACUUUGGUCAGGUAGGACUGGAUUUAGAGGCAGAAUUUGAAAAGAACCUCAAAGAAGUGCUUACUUUUCAUGAAGCCAAUAAGAACAGCUUCCAGAUUCCUCCUUGAUCCUGUUCUGGACGAACUAAGGCAUCCCAACGUCAGGAUCCAGAUGAUGUGGCCCUGGCCAUCCUUAGAUUGCCAACGAGUCUGGAAUGUUAUUGGCUGCCUCUUGACUCAAAUCCAGACCCUUCAGAGCAUUGCCACACCCUCCACCGCCUUUUAUUGUUUCUUUUUAUAUUUCGCACCUCAAAAGAGUUAAAUAUUUCCUUAAUACUAUUAAAUACCCCAUCACAGUUCA